CGGAGUGGACGCAUCACUGGUGUUCGGGUUGUCAUGCCAAUGGCACUGCCCGGUAGCUAAAUGCGGAAGAGAUAAGUGCUGAAAGCAUCUAAGCACGAAACUUGCCCCGAGAUGAGUUCUCCCUGACUCCUUGAGAGUCCUGAAGGAACGUUGAAGACGACAACGUUGAUAGGCCGGGUGUGUAAGCGCAGCGAUGCGUUGAGCUAACCGGUACUAAUGAACCGUGAGGCUUAACCUU
rnacentral:rRNA from 1 species